GAUGAACGCUGGCGGCGUGCCUAAUACAUGCAAGUCGAGCGAACGAACGAGAAGCUUGCUUCUCUGAUGUUAGCGGCGGACGGGUGAGUAACACGUGGAUAACCUACCUAUAAGACUGGGAUAACUUCGGGAAACCGGAGCUAAUACCGGAUAAUAUUUUGAACCGCAUGGUUCAAAAGUAAAAGACGGUCUUGCUGUCACUUAUAGAUGGAUCCGCGCUGCAUUAGCUAGUUGGUAAGGUAACGGCUUACCAAGGCAACGAUGCAUAGCCGACCUGAGAGGGUGAUCGGCCACACUGGAACUGAGACACGGUCCAGACUCCUACGGGAGGCAGCAGUGGGGAAUCUUCCGCAAUGGGCGAAAGCCUGACGGAGCAACGCCGCGUGAGUGAUGAAGGUCUUCGGAUCGUAAAACUCUGUUAUUAGGGAAGAACAUAUGUGUAAGUAACUGUGCACAUCUUGACGGUACCUAAUCAGAAAGCCACGGCUAACUACGUG
rnacentral:rRNA from 1 species